UAAUACGUAGGGGGCGAGCGUUGUCCGGAAUCAUUGGGCGUAAAGCGCGUGUAGGCGGUUCAGUAAGUCUGCUGUGAAAGUCCAAGGCUCAACCUUGGGAUGCCGGUGGAUACUGCUGGACUAGAGUCUGGAAGGGGCGAGUGGAAUUCCUGGUGUAGCGGUGGAAUGCGCAGAUAUCAGGAGGAACACCUAUGGCGAAGGCAGCUCGCUGGGACAGUACUGACGCUGAGACGCGAAAGCGUGGGGAGCAAACAGGAUUAGAUACCCUGGUAGUCCACGCCGUAAACGAUGGAUACUAGGUGUGGGGGGUGUCAACUCCCUCCGUGCCGACGCUAACGCAUUAAGUAUCCCGCCUGGGGAGUACGGCCGCAAGGCUAAAACUUAAAUGAAUUGACGG
rnacentral:rRNA from 1 species